GCUUCAUGGGGGUAGCCGUGGAUAGCACAGUGGGGCAGCCCUGGAAACAAAAUCCCCUUUGACAUCCAAAAUGAAGUUUGCCUAGAGCAGUGUCCGGUCCACGGAAAUACAAGUAAUAUUGUUGGAAGGCAGCAGGUACCAGACAUCCAUUUGUGUGGGGGAAAAUGUAUCACAAAAGCGUUUCCUGGUCCAGAAAGUAAACCAUUGAACUUGAUCCGACUGAACCCUGAAUGUUAUCAUUUUGUGGUC
rnacentral:lncRNA from 1 species